rnacentral:rRNA from 1 species
AUUGAACGCUGGCGGAAUGCUUUACACAUGCAAGUCGAACGGCAGCACGGACUUCGGUCUGGUGGCGAGUGGCGAACGGGUGAGUAUGUAUCGGAACGUGCCCAGUCGUGGGGGAUAACGUAGUGAAAAUUACGCUAAUACCGCAUACGAUCUAUGGAUGAAAGCGGGGGAUCGCAAGACCUCGCGCGAUUGGAGCGGCCGAUAUCAGAUUAGGUAGUUGGUGGGGUAAAGGCCCACCAAGCCAACGAUCUGUAGCUGGGCUGAGAGGACGACCAGCCACACUGGAACUGAGACACGGUCCAGACUCCGACGGGAGGCAGCAGUGGGGAAUUUUGGACAAUGGGCGAAAGCCUGAUCCAGCCAUUCCGCGUGCAGGAUGAAGGCCCUCGGGUUGUAAACUGCUUUUGUACAGAACGAAAAGGUUUCUACUAAUACUAGGAGCUCAUGACGGUACUGUAAGAAUAAGCACCGGCUAACUACGUGCCAGCCGCCGCCGUAA